AUCGCUUCUCGGCCUUUUGGCUAAGAUCAAAGUGUAGUAUCUGUUCUUAUCAGCUUAAUAUCUGAUACGUCUCCUAAUGGAGACAUCGAUAUUAAACUGAUUUUUUAGAAUGGGAUGAGGUGCCACGGGGCUUGCUCCGCCCUCAUCACGGGUUGACCCGGUAUUGCAGUACCUCCGGGAAUGGCCCACCACUC
rnacentral:snRNA from 1 species